UUUGGGUAUCUUGUGUAUAUCGUUGUGUAGUCGACAAAGAAUGCAGUCAGAUGAAGAUUUCAUUCCAUAUUUUUUCUAAACCUCACCCAUUCCGUUCUUCUGACGUUCACCCAGGCAGAAUUUAUUACUCGGGUAUAAAGAAGUGUGGGUUCCGUUUGGUGCACAAGUAAGACGUGGAAGAACUCAACCAAAUCAUGAUGAUGAACCACUCCAUCAAAAUCAGCACAAAAGCUACUUCUCCUCACAAUUCUCACAAUUCAGCUGAUGCAAGUGGAAGCUCUCACCAAAAAUCUCUCUGCCUCAAAAGCUAUGCUCUUUCCAAAUGUUUUUUAAAAAAACUUGUAAAGAUUUUCUCCCUCUUUUCAACAACUGCAGUUUUUAUCAAAUCUUUCAACAAUAGCGAACAGUGAGGAUGCAUAGGACUUUUGAUUUGGAGGGUAACCACUUUGAUUUCCUACUUAGGCCUUGCACCCUCUUAUUUUUCACUAUUGUUGAAAAGUGUAAUAAAAACUAUUAUUCUUAAAAGAGCAGCUAAAUUUUUGCGACCUUUGUUAACAACACCGCCGCCUCAAAUGUCUACACAUAAAUACUUGAAAGGAUAAUGACGGUCUUCUCACAAUUGAUAUUAGAUUUGGAGCUGAUCAAAAGUAGUUGCGUGCUUAUUGGCCAGGAUGGAAUAAGCCAACAAGAAUUUUCAAUCAUAAGCUUAGCAUUGAGAAUUGAUCGUAUCUGCAACCGAUCAAUUGCUUUGUCGGGAUUCCUACUUUGACUGCUUCAAUUCAUCUCCUUGA